rnacentral:tRNA from 2 species
GCUCCCUUAGCUCAAUCGGCAGAGCAACUGACUCUUAAUCAGUAGGUUGUAGGUUCGAUUCCUACAGGGAGCAC